UUGACUGUUUCCUCUACCAAAAUGUCCUAUUUCAGUGACUUAAAAUGUACGGGUAAGUCCCAUAUUUUGUGCAGCUGAAAGUGCAUAUACACUGAAAAUCUGGGUAAAUGUUAGCUACUGAGGGCAGUAAUGAGCCUCUUCAGAGGAAACGGUGCACUGUUCCUGUCGUCAUGGUGGAGGAGGAAGGAACAAGGAAAAUAGAGACUCUGCCACAUUCAAAGUAAAGAUCUUUCGAUGCAUGUGCUGGGAUAAACAAUGGGGAAAUCAGAGGCUUAUGGAGGCUUCAUGGAAAAGAGAAAAUAAGAGGCCACUUUAAACUUCCUGGAAUUAACACAAUUGAAGUAAUCUCAAUUCAGCAUCAUACCAUGGGCCUUAUUUUGCAAGCCUACCAUCACUUUUCUUACAGAGCUCAAGAUUUAGACAACUUUUUAAAAACAGAUAUCUAAAACCAAUUACAGUACUUCAGGACAUGACCAUAAAUGACCAUAAAAAAGACUAAAGUUUUCACUUC